rnacentral:lncRNA from 1 species
UAGGUACAAAAUUGACUUUAACAGACUGAAAAUUCCUACAGAGGAACUGGAUUUAUGAAAUUAUCCAGUGAGUUGCUGUUUUGCUGUCCGUUGUGUUGUUAACAAGCUCCACCACCUUCUUACAAUCUGAUUCAAUGAUCAAACAUGGGAGGGCUAAUUUCCUGGCCACCUGAAGACCCCACUCCACUGCUUCAGCUUCUGCAAUACUGACGUCUUCC